rnacentral:lncRNA from 1 species
CUUUCUCUGAACGCCUCUGAAUCUCAAGCAUUGACUUCCAUCUCUUCUUUUUUUACUUUUUUUUUUCUCAGGUGCAUUUGGUCGAACGGCGUAGCUCUCAGCCUCUGUUUCUUUUCCUCCUUUACGUUGCUGCUCAACUCUUCCCUUCCCGUCAAACCCAAAUCAGUGUCUAAACUUCUCUCUGCAUCUCAAAAGCGGUCUUCCACCGCUUCUUCCUCGUAAUUCCUCUCAACUCAUCUGACUGGGUUUUCAGGAACACAGUCUCUCUUGAUCUUCUUCUCUUGCUUUCACACAGAUCACAUCCUCC